rnacentral:tRNA from 1 species
GCCUGGGUGGCUCAGUCAGUUGAGCAUCUGACUUUGGCUCAGGUCAUAAUCUCAGUCUCACAGGGUUUGAGCCCUGCAUCAGGCU